AGUUUUAAAUGUGCUAAGUCUACUUUCAAAGACAAAAAAGCAAGGCUCAACAGUCAUUUAUUAGUUAUUGAUCUUUAGUAAUUGAUAUUUUUGCAAUUUUUCUUGUAUACUCUAUAAAAUUUCCAAGUCUUGAUUCCCAGACUUGACUCUUGAUACUAAAGAAUCAUCUGGGAUGUCUAUUUAUUUACAAAUCUCAGGGCCCUGUUAAUAAUCUGAUUUGGGUUGGGGUAAGACUUUAUCAUCUCUCUCUCUAUAUGUUAUCCUUAUAAAUACUAUAUAUUACUUAUCCAAGGAAAGCUUGUGCUCAGUUUUGAAACAUUCCUGGGGUAGUCAUAUAACAAAGAGUGUGGCAGACAUGGGAUCUGCCCUCCUCCACUUGUAUUUAGCUCUUUUGCAUGACUCAAAGGAAAUUAGUUUGUAAUUUUUCAAGGAAGAAAAGGAGAAUCUAGUUAUAAAAUUUGUAAUUGAGGUAUGAAAGUGGUUUUAUGUUAUUCUUUUAAAUAAUCUACUUAUUAAAAAGAACUAUUUGUUUUUUAAAAAAAACUAAGAACUCCCCACCCCUACCCCCAGAAACUUGCCAGGUGUGAUGCACGCUUUUAACCUUAGCACUUGGGAGGCAGAAGCAGAGGGCAGAGGGCAGAGGCAGGUAGAUCUCUGUGAUUUUUUUUUUCUUUUCCUUUUGCAUACAGGAUCUCUCUGUGUAGUCUUGGCUAUACUGGUCUUGAACUCACAGAGAUGCACCUGCCUGUGUGUCUCAAAUGCUGGGGUUAAAAGCAUGUGCCACCAUACAUAGUCUUAUCUGAUCUCUGUGUGUUUGAGGCUUGGUCUAUCUGGAGAGUUCUGGACUAGCCAGGACUACAUAGUGAGACCAAAGGAGGAGGAAGAGGAAGAGGAAGAGGAGAAGGAGGAAAAGGAGAAGGAGGAAGAGGAAGAAGAGGGGAGGAGGAGGAGGAAGAGAAGGGGGAGGAACAGAAAAGAAGAAGAAGAGGAGAAGAAAGAGCAGCAGAAGAAAUCAAAAGCGUGAAAUCUGCAGCCAGGGCCUUUGGGUUAGUAGGUACAUCUUAAACCCAUGAAAGAUAGCACCAAGGGAACAAAAUGUUUGGUUGGCUUCAAAUGCAUAAAUGAUGUAUAGCUUAGCAUGGAGGAGGGAAGAGCCUCUUAGAAAAGUGUGAUCUGGCUCUCGGGCUUAGUCAGGAGAUAUGCACAAAAGCACAGGCUACAAAGUGCUCUCUACUUUAUUAACAGGAUUGAUAGGAAGUUGGAAGACAAGUUAACUAGAAAUUGGAAGGCUCUUAUCAAUCUUGCUUGUAUUCCAUCCUCAUCCUCCUUGUCUGACCUACAGGGAAAAGAAAGCCCAUUCCAGUCUUUUUGUGUAUGCAUUUGUUAGGAAUUAUGCAAUUACAUUUUAAUCGUGUUUGCUAAAUAAAAUUCUACAAAGGUUGCAUUUUGUAGUUUUCUGUGUAUUAAAUGAAAAUACUAUACUAUCAAAAUAAGUUUUAUCUACUUAGAACAAUGUUCUCUUUACAUUUUAUUCUUCAGGAAGCUAAUUUAAACAAAAGAAAGACUACUUUGAAUAUUCAGUCAUGAUUUUGUAGCCCAUUACUGUAUUUUGCUACAUCUUUAUCUUUGGCCUAUGAUAUAUAAAGUGUCUGUACUUACUUUAUAAUUAUUAUUAGAUGACAGGAAGGCUAAGUGAAUUUUAUUGCUUAUGGGAGGAAAUAAUUACAGUACCUUCUUAUAUUUCAUUUUCAUGUUGUCUAUCAGGAUAUAUAAUUCGUGUACAUGUAUUACAUAUGCACAAAUGUGUAUAUGAUUUCUCUACAAAUAGAAAAGAAAAUAGGAAGUUUAAUGAACCUCAGUAGAAAUGCUUUGGAGUGUUAGUUUUGUUUUUUGUUUUUUGUUUUUUUUAAUUUAACUAAGUUGAAAUGUAAAAAACAAGAAUUUUGAGAUGAAGGGAAAUGAUAUAUACCCCCCCUUUUUAACAUAAAUACGACAGUGGCUAUAUCAUUGAAAAUUAAUGAGGGCUCCAUCAAUAUGGUGCAGUUUCUCUGCAUCAUGGAUUCAUAUAUAUUUAAUGAGCCUGCUAUUCUAACUCCAGGUAACUGAAGCAAACUGCAUCUGACAUUCACUCUGAUUUACUUGUAAACAACUCAUUCCAUUAAAUUUUAAAGGCCUUGAAAUCUACCAGUAUUAAAUAUAGCUUCUUCCUAAAUUAAAUUGUAUGGUGUUUACUCUGUUGCCAUAACUAAGUUGUUUUUAAACAAACAGGCUAAAUUUUAGUGUUGUUUCAGAUGCUGCCAAAAAUGUCAUUAUUAAUUGAUAUUUUAAAAAUGAUUAGUGGGGCGGGGCGUGGUGGCACACGCCUUUAAUCCCAGCACUCGGGAGGCAGAGGCAGGUGGAUUUCUGAGUUUGAGGCUAGCCUAGUCUACAGAGUUAGUUACAGGACAGCCAGGGCUAUACAGAGAAACCCUGUCUCGAAAAACAAAACAAAACAAAACAAAACAAAACAAAAC
rnacentral:lncRNA from 1 species